rnacentral:lncRNA from 10 species
GCUGUGUUUAACAACUGGUUUGUAGCAUUCCUGAAAAUGUAACAACCAGCUCUCGUGACCUGUUUUGGUCUGGCUCCAGCAUACAACUGUGCCACUGCCUUCUCCUUUGCCCACUGUUUCCAAAUAAAUAAGCUUCUCAGUUUAGUUAACAGGUGUCCAUUUCUUUAAAAAAAAAAAAAAAUCUCCUUUUCUCCCAUGAGAUGGGGUAGGGAAGAUGAACUCCCUUUUUCCUAUCCUUAGACUUCCCUGGGCAGGUGAACAAGUCCCAUGGAAGUUUGGUGAGGGGCUUCAAGGGGAGCCAAGAGGAUUAAAGCCUGUAUGUUCCCGAGAGCCUUCCUUGCAUCUGGCCAGCUCACUGCUGCCUUGGCAUAACUUUGGGAGGGUCAUUUUUUCCAUGUGGGGUAAGGCUGAAUGUUUACAAAGUGGAAUAGGCUGCAUUACUGCUGGUUUGUAGUUGGUGGAAAGAGGGAGAAAAGAGCCUGGC